rnacentral:rRNA from 1 species
UAAAAUUUAAAGUUAUUAUACUAAAAUAGUAAAUAAUUAUUUAUUGAAACUUAAAUAAUUUGGCGGUAUUUUAGUUCAUUUAGAGGAAUCUGUUUAAUAAUUGAUAUUCCACGAUUAAAUUUACUUAAUUUAUAAUUUUGUAUAUCGUUGUUAUAAAAAUAUUUUUUAAUAAAAUUAAUAUUUAAAAAUUAUUAUAUAAAUUUAAAUCAGAUCAAGAUGCAGAUUAUAAUUAAGAAUAUAAUGGAUUACAAUAAAAUUAUUUAAAUGAAUAUUAAUUUGUAAAAAAUAAUUGAAAGUGGAUUUAAAUGUAAUUUUAUUUAUUUUAAUAAAAUGAUUAAAAAUUAAAAUAUGU